UAAGUGUUAAUUAUAUUUACCAGGGUAGUAUUAGUUAAAGUCUUUAAACCCAAAGAAUUUGGCGGUAUUUCAUUCCAUUCAGAGGAACCUAUCCCAUGAUUGAUAGUACACGAUUAACUUUACUUAAUUUAUUUGUUUGUAUAUCUCCGUUAUCAGAAAAUCUUUUUAGAGUUAUAAUUUUCUUAAUUUGUAAUUAUAAAUUAUUUCAGGUCAAGGUGCAGUUUAUAAUUAAGAGGAGAUGGGUUACAAUAUAUUUUUGUAUAUUACGGAUUUAAUAUUGAAAUAUUAUUAAUGAAGGUGGAUUUGAUAGUAAUUUAACAUAUUUAAUUUAAUUGAUAUUGGCUCUGAGGU
rnacentral:rRNA from 1 species